GAAGGGAGCCCCCACGCUCGCCCCGACACAGGCUCCAGUAUGGCGACAAGAGGGCUCAGAGGACACCCGUUGGAACUCAGGAAAGAGGCUGAGGAAGGAGCUGCGCCAUGCCUGGAUGGAUGAGAACAGCAGAGGAGGAGGAAUUGGCAAGCAGCCCAGGAAGACCUGAAAAGAGGCAGAAGAACCUGGGAACAUCUAGUGAUGGGGAAAUCAAGGCAGGAGAGGCCUCAAAGGAAGAGGAGGUGGCGGCCCACGGCCCAAAGCGAUUCAAACGUAGAGCUAGUUGUGGACCAAGGAAAUGGCUUUCCGUGUCACUGCUGUGAGAGAGGUUAAAGUUGUUGAAAAUGUGUCCUGAAUUGGGUCUACCCAGGCAAAAUGAAGGUACCAGGAGCCUGUGAUGAAAAUCAGUCAUCUCAACUGGGAGUCGUUCCUUAUCAUUCAGCAGAGCCUGAUGUUAACAUUUCCUUCCCUGGAUUUGCUGGAAUCUGUGUGUUCCUUUCAAGUGAUGACAAACUAAUUGCACUGGCUUCCUGUCACCGUCACGAUCUUUCUGCAGUGACUGGAGGAGGUCAAUCUCUCUGACGAGCCAGAUUGCCA
rnacentral:lncRNA from 1 species